rnacentral:rRNA from 1 species
UCAAAGGAAUUGACGGGGACCCGCACAAGCGGCGGAGCAUGCGGAUUAAUUCGAUGCAACGCGAAGAACCUUACCAAGGCUUGACAUAUACGAGAACGGGCCAGAAAUGGUCAACUCUUUGGACACUCGUAAACAGGUGGUGCAUGGUUGUCGUCAGCUCGUGUCGUGAGAUGUUGGGUUAAGUCCCGCAACGAGCGCAACCCUCGUUCUAUGUUGCCAGCACGUAAUGGUGGGAACUCAUGGGAUACUGCCGGGGUCAACUCGGAGGAAGGUGGGGAUGACGUCAAAUCAUCAUGCCCCUUAUGUCUUGGGCUUCACGCAUGCUACAAUGGCCGGUACAAAGGGCUGCAAUACCGCGAGGUGGAGCGAAUCCCAAAAAGCCGGUCCCAGUUCGGAUUGAGGUCUGCAACUCGACCUCAUGAAGUCGGAGUCGCUAGUAAUCGCAGAUCAGCAACGCUGCGGUGAAUACGUUCCCGGGUCUUGUACACACCGCCCGUCAAGUCAUGAAAGUCGGUAACACCUGAAGCCGGUGGCCUAACCUUUUUGGAGGGAGCCGUCGAAGGUGGGAUUGGUAAUUAGGACUAAGUCGUAACAAGGUAACC